rnacentral:rRNA from 1 species
AAUGCCCCAUGGUGAUGUCCUCAGGCAUCUGAGGUCAUCUAAAGAUCCGUCGGAUGGGGAUAGGCUCGCGUGACAUUAGCUAGACGGCGGGGUAACGGCCCACCGUGGCGACGAUGUCUAGGGGUUCUGGGAGGAAGGUCCCCCACACUGGAACUGAGACACGGUCCAGACUCCUACGGGAGGCAGCAGUGAGGAAUAUUGGUCAAUGGCCGGAAGGCUGAACCAGCCAUGCCGCGUGAAGGUCAGUGCCCUAUGGGCGUUAAACUUCUUUUGUGCGGGAGCAAUAAUGGUCACGUGUGGCCAGACGAGAGUACCGUACGAAUAAGCAUCGGCUAACUCCGUGCCAGCAGCCGCGGUAAUACGGGGGAUGCAAGCGUUAUCCGGAUUUAUUGGGUUUAAAGGGUGCGUAGGCUGUGAGGUAAGUCAGCGGUGAAAUGCCCCCGCUCAACGGGGUGAAGUGCCAUUGAUACUGCCUUGCUGGAACGCGGAUGCCGUGGGAGGAAUGUGUGGUGUAGCGGUGAAAUGCAUAGAUAUCACACAGAACACCGAUUGCGAAGGCAUCUCACGAAUCCGCGAUUGACGCUGAUGCACGAAAGCGUGGGUAUCAAACAGGAUUAGAUACCCUGGUAGUCCACGCUGUAAACGAUGAUGACUAACCGUCGGCGAUACACAGUCGGUGGCCAAGC